rnacentral:lncRNA from 1 species
UGCUAAGUCAUGUCUUGAGCCAGUGAUUGAGCACCUGGUGGGAAGGCAGGGACAACCCAGAGGAGCUCAGGUGCAUGCAAUGAACCUGACCUCAUUUAAGGGCUUAAGCCCUUUGACAGGGUAGGGCCUCACCCUGAAGAAGUGUUUGGGAUGUGAUGUUACCUCACGAAUGUGAUCUUCAUUGUUAUGUAGCUUUGAAUAUCCAGGACAGCUGCAGUUCUACAACCAAGGAAAAGUCAAUAGGAAAGAAGUAACUUUGGAAUCCCCAACCCCAGCAAGAGUCACCUGUUAAUCUUGUCAUAAAAGUUCAGCCCCUCUAAUUCAUUCACCUGGGUGAAUUCUUUUACCCCUACUUCCAUUUCAGUGCCCACAUGUGCAAGUGUCUUGGCUGUUGGAUUUGGCUUGUAAACUAAAGAAAGGCUUUGAGUCUCAUGUGCCAUGGGUCUCUCUUCAUCAGUUUCACACAACUGACUGGGUAGAGUGAGGCUGGCACCCAGUUCGUGAGCAUCAGUGAUGCUUAUAGGUAAAGCUGGUGUUGAAGGAAGCCCCUGGGCAGGUGAGCAGCUCUCUGACUGAGUCAAGGGGAGGAAGGGUGCAGUUAUUGGGCCUGCUUUAGCUUUUUUGAUUGUAUUUAGCUUUCUGCAGACUCUUCUCUGAAGUCUUGGACACUCAGACCAGCAACUGGAAAUGUAUUAGAAUAUCAACAUUAUUUAUAUCUUCCUAUCUACAUAUAGAGGACCUCUUUCACACGCAUCUCUCCCGUUCUGUUCCAACCCCUGCUUUUAUUCAUUCUUUGUCAAACAGUGCAAUUUAGCUGUAGUAGGAUUUUUGUUUUGUAGGAUUAGUCAAAUACUGCCUUUCUGUGGUAUUUCAAUGCUUUCUCUAUUUUGCUAUCCAAAAGCAGGUGUCUGGGAACACUCUAUCAAGAGGUGUAUUUAAAGAACUAGAGCUUUGCAUGGUAUUUAUAUUUAUUAUCAUGUGAUGGAAAGGGGGGAAAAAAAUCUUUGUGACAUUUACUUGUGCAGCCCACCUGUUGCUGCCCAUAGCAAAGCUGGGACGUUUGUGUACUGCUGUAGUUGACUUGCUGCGUUCCCUAUGAUGAUAAAGCUACAGUCAGAUUCUUAAUUUCAGCUUGUGUAAAUUACUAGUAAGACAGAGUGAGCCUUAGAUAAUAAAAGACAAAUGGAUGCUGCUUCUGAGACACUGGAGUGUUGCCACACAAGUAUUCUAUUAUAUUGGAUAUAUUCUCCAUGUUCUGGCUACCAUCUGUAGUUAACUUCCCUGCCAGCAGUGCAUGUUGGGUUAGAAAAAAACAGAGUUACAACAUGUUGGCUGAGCUUUCAGCUCAAUCCUGGUUGUUAUUAUUAUUGUAAUGGAGAAACAACUGAGGCCAAUUUUUGGAAUAGAGCACAAAUGCUCACAACAUCCUGUCCUGCUAAUUCGUAAGGCUUCUUUCAGCUGUGAACUUUCAGUGGGAAUCACAAAGAUAAGACCCUGAUGGUUUACUUCAAGAACUGAAGGAUGAGUGUGCCAUGUCAAUGUUUCUAUGGUUCCUUAGAGGAAUGGUUAUUGUAAUAAAUGGUGAUGCAUGCUUGAAUAGAUAGAUCUUGUUUAUGGAAGCAUUCAGUGUCAGGGAGAUAGUGUAUGUACAAUGUACACAGACAAAUGACACAAAUAAUUCCAUUGCUCUACUGUGAUAUGAGUAUGUGCAGCUUGGUUUGGAGUAGUUGCUAGAUUGCCUUAACUUUUGACACUGCCUUUUUCUUACUAGUGUUGGAGCCUGUGCAAUAACACACAGGUUAUGGUAUCUGGAUCUGAAUAGGAUGUGAGCAGAGUGGCCAGUGCACAACCUUUGAAGGGCUGAAAUGCAUUUCUAAUUGGGGUUUUGAGAAGUUUUAACUCCUCCCCAGUCUCUGGGUAGCAUCCGGAUGUUAUGGUGUAUUAGUUCUGGUAAGAACAAAGUCAAAUUUCCUUUCAAGACCACCCCUCACCUAUAUGAAACACUACUGAUUUAAUAUAUGUAGUAUUCAGGAUGGAAGUAGAGCUACAGAGACCAAGAGCACACAUUGGAUGAUAUUAAUGCUUUAGCAAGAGACCAGAUUACCCAAGAUCCAGGAAUUUUGCACCAUGUGCUCCUAAAAAAAAAAAAAAAAAAAAAAAAAAAAAAACUGGUGACUUGGCAUGGGUAUAGCCCUGUUAUUAAUUCCUGUGCAUUUUAAAUACAAACAUGUAGGCAGCAAACAGAACAUAUCCUGAUAGGAGUCUCACCCCUUCUUUUGCCAAAUGAUGCUAUUCUGAAAUACAGUACUGGCUUAGGACACCUAGCAUGUUUUUUUGGAAGCAGACAUAAAUUUUGGAAGAAAAGAUCAGGUGACGAAAGUGAAGAAAGAUAUUUCAGGUACGGUUAUGUAGCAGUAGAAAUCUAGGUGGGAGAAUUAAUUUGAAAACGCGUUUUCUUCACUGAAGAGGCUCAGGCAGAUCUUUGAUUUAAUGCGUUGCCACCAAUGUAAAUGGUAGGUAAAAAUGCCCUUGGCUGUGUUGUUUCUCUGAAAUAGAGGGCUAUGUUGGACAAGCAAAUUUGUGUUCUGAGUUCUUGGGGGUACAGUAACUUGCAUGUGAAACAUGAAACAAAAUGAGGGAGGACACUCAGGAUUCCCCUGUAUACUUGAAGGCAUUCAACAGUAAGAUAUGAAGCCACACUUUGCUUUCAUUUGUCCUCCAGAAUCUUUUAGUAUUUGUCAUAUAUCAAUUCGAAUUGGGUUUUCACCUCACAUACCUUAGUCCUCAGGUUGGUGGUUGGAGGCUUCUCCAAGGAGUAGGAGCAUGCGUACAUAUCUCAAGUCUGAUGUGGAUAUGGAAUCUGGGGACCCCUUCUUAGGGAAGUGUGAGCCAUGGGCCAUCAUAUAGUCUUUAUGCUGGAGACAGGGUUUCUGCACAGUGUCAAAUAUACAUCCAUCUCUGUGAUUGGUCUUAGAAAAUGAAAUAUAAGAUGUGCAAACUCAGAGCUGAUGUCUCUUGCACAAUAUUCAGUGCAAGGCAGCUCAUGCAAACCAGGUGUUUGAGUGAAUGUGGCUUUCAUUAUCCCCAUUCUCCAAAGCUCUCAUCUCAAACAUAUUGCAUGUAAAACCACUUCUGUUGUUUAAAAUAUAAAUUGUUCAGAAAUAUAGAGAGUCAUUCAUUGGUCAAACUCAUAGUUUUCUGUGACAAACCAAUCUGGAUUUUGACAAAACUUUUGUCUUUUUUCUCUAAAUCAGUGUCCUGAGUGUGUACAUCCUUGAACUAAUGGGAAUUGUCUGUAUACAGAUCCUAAACUUGUAUCUUAGACUACUUCCUUUACUGAUUAAAAUAGUCAUUUUUAUCUCUGUGGAAUGUUUGCUUUGGAGAUCAGAAAUAUUCUGCCCUUGAGCUUAGGGAAUCAGGGAGGGGAAUGUUUUUGUAUUAGAAUUAUUUGUUUGUUGUCCUGACUCUCUGAAGUGUACAUUUUGUAUUUUUGUUCUUCACAAUGAAUAGGUAUAAACCUGAGAGUUCUUCUGACUUUGUUUUUUUUUGAAGUGACAGCAUUUCACUCAAUUUCUGAAUAUAACAGCUGCAUAAAAUACAGCACUUUGUGCUCCUGGCAUAGAAGGGAAGAAAGCAACUGCACUCUCUCAAUGUUUUUUUUUUUUUUUUGAGAGGUUAGACAGCAAUUUAGUUAAUAUAUAGCUAGUACUGCUUAUUUUAAGGCAGGGAUGUAAUUGAUAGCAUCUUUCCAUUCUGUUACUGGGAGGAGUAUUUAUAUAACCACACUUUUUUUUUGGUUUCUUUUGUCCAUGCCAAAGAGUAGAAUUGAACUGAUACUGCAAAUGUAGUUUAAUGUGAAUGUAUUCACCUGAGUGCUUAAACCUUUCUACCUCUCAUAGCUGCUAUAGUUGCUUGAAGUGGUAUUCAGUUCUUUUGGCUGCUACACGCAAUAUCUGUAAGAGCCUAAAUCCUAUUUUCACAGAUAGCGUAAGGAUUUAGGACUUAACUCUUAUUAACUUCCUUGAAUUUAACAUGUUUUUAAAUUCAGUUCCUUGUUCCUAAGAAAUAGACAUAGAAACCCAAGAAGGGCAGUGAGAUUAGCUGUUUUGAUUAGUCAAACUAUGCUUAUUUAUUCUUUUCACCAAAAAACAGUCAGCAACUGUGAUCCUUUAGACAUAGGUGUUUAUGUUACUUCUAAUAUAGUAUUUCAUGGGGUUGGCACUGAGCUAAGUAUUAGAAGGGCUGUAGCAGUCAUUGCCCAGCAUUCCCCAUGGGCAAGGAACUUCAAGGCACAGCUUUAACGUCCCCACUGCCUGGGGAGUCUUCUGUUAGAGCUUUUCUGCCUGGCUUGAAACUCAUAAGAAAAAAAUGACACUUUAGUGGUGAUGGUGUUUAUCAAGGAGAUAAAGUACCUGGUGGCAAGAGCAACUCACUAAAAUAGCUUGAAUUAUUUGUUUAUGGUGGAAAUGUAGUCUGAGGUAUUCUUGUUCCUCCUUUCCACAUGUCUACGGUGUAAAGAGAGGGUGGAGAUGCCCUGCCAGGAGGUAGGAAUGAAAAUUCAUCAUUGCUGUUGCCCUCUUGAGUGAUUUCUUACACAAGUGGAUAUAUGACCCUGUGGUGAAAGUCCUUAUUUCCCCCUCCUUUCCCCCCACGUCUGUGCAUGUUUGACUCCAGUUUGUGUACAGCUUCUGAACAGUAUUUAUGAACGUAAGAGAAAUUGCAGCUCCUAUGGCAAACUUUGCCAUUUGUUAGAGAAAUAAAAAGCAUUUCAGUUUUUUUGCUAUUCUCAUUUGGACUCCCUGAGGUUUGGUGCCAAACUCUUCCUUUUACACAAACCAGGCCUGAUUUGGCUGACAUGUUGCUCUAAAAGAUUCCCAAAGUUGGUUGCCAGGAUUCCCUUAAGCAACCUGGUGGAAUCAGAUGAGUGAUACGUUAAUCCAUAGAUUCUAAAGCAGGGAGAUGUUUGAAAAUACUCUGUCACAGUAUCCCACACAACACAGUCCAGAGCUCUUCACCCACUCAGUCCCACAGCAGGAGGAAUUACUUUUUUCCUGUUAACACUGCAAAGUGCAACAGUCUGUGUCUGAGAUACCACACAUCCUCCUGUAGCACACUGGAUCUUCAUGUUAAUUAACCAUUGCCACUUUCUAGACUGCUGCAAUGAUUUAAAUCCUCACUGCUCGGUGUGGUCACCAUUUGGCUUCUAAAGCUGCUGUCAGUCUCCUCAAACCAGUGUUUUUUAGGAGAUGUAAACAGCCCUUUUGGUCGGUGACCACAAGACUGCAGUGGGAUCACAUCCACAGUAAAUUGGUGCCAUUAGAGAUUUUUGUCAAAUACUCCCUGAAUAAAACUACCGCUCUUUUUCAGCUCUCUUGAGAAAUGAAUAUAUCAUGAUCUGAAGUGUACUGCUAAAAGGUUUUUUUUGCAGGUUUAUAAAGAAAAAUAAUCCAGUUCCACUGACAUCUCCUUCCCCUGAAUCCUUUCUUCUCUAAAAACACUCUUGGAAACAUUACAGAGUUUUAUUGCCACCAGGCUAAUCAGGCCUUGUUUCUCACAUCUCUUCCUAUCAGGAACAAGGAUAGCUAAAGGGGGUAGGAGAGUGCCGUAAGUCAGAAUAAAAAUAGAUAAUGAGAACUGUUAGUGUUCUUCCUGUGAGGGAUUUCAGCAUUCAGGCUAUGACGUGAGGGGUCCAGUGUGGCAGAGCCUGGGCUGGCAGUGCUGAUGCCAGUUUCAGCCUUAGCUUGGACCGCUCAGCUUCUCAUAAUUUGUUUUUGAGGUCUCCAGACUUUGACAAUUUGUUUAACUGCUGAAAGUAGGAUUGGGACAGAUCUUUAGCUGGUGUAUGCAGCUUAGCUUUGUAAGCCUCGUUGGAGCCAUGCCAGUCCACACAAGCUGAGGGUAGAGCUUGCUCUGUUUUGAAUAUUCUUUCUCAUGCUUUGUAUGCUCUCCUGCAGUGUAACGAGUGCUGAUCUGGAGCAUUAAUUGCAUGCAUUUGACAGAAACAGAAUUGGAGUUAAACUUAUCGUUGUUUUGAUACAGUCUCAAAGGGGAAACUUUAUACUAGUAUUUUAAUGCAAGCAUUUGUAAACACCUGGCAAAUAGAAAUUGCAAGUCCAAUCCUUCUGCUAACGGAGUCAUUGACAAUGUUUCCUUUGGCUUUAGUAGGGAGCUGGACUGGGCUCAGUGUAAGUGGUAUACUCAAGUAUUACUGAUAACGAUUAAAUGUGUUUUAUAUAUUGAUGCUUUUUGCUGGACAGUGCAUUGGCUUUUUAUGAUUUGUUGAUAUAUACAAAUAAACUAUUUGAAAAGUUAGUAUUUCUGUGCCUUUUUUUUU